GUGUCAGCAGCCGCGGUAAUACAGAGGUCCCAAGCGUUGUUCGGAUUCACUGGGCGUAAAGGGUGCGUAGGUGGUGAGGUAAGUCUGAUGUGAAAUCCCGCAGCUCAACUGCGGAACUGCAUCGGAUACUAUCUUGCUAGAGGGUUUGAGGGGGGACUGGAAUUCUCGGUGUAGCAGUGAAAUGCGUAGAUAUCGAGAGGAACACCAGUGGCGAAGGCGAGUCCCUGGAAAACUCCUGACACUGAGGCACGAAAGCUAGGGGAGCAAACAGGAUUAGAAACCCGCGUAGUCC
rnacentral:rRNA from 1 species